GAUGAAGAACGCAGCGAAAUGCGAUAAGUAGUGUGAAUUGCAGAAUUCCGUGAAUCAUCGAAUCUUUGAACGCACAUUGCGCCUUCUGGUAUUCCGGAAGGCAUGCCUGUUCGAGAGUCAUUAACAACCGUUUCGAUCCCUUUCUUUCAGAAAUUACAAAGAGGAAAAGGGUUUGGUUAUGGUGGAGGAGGGAAAGGGAGCGUUUAGCCUGUAAAAAAAGAGGCUGUGUUCCGCCUCCCCCCCAAAAUUGUACAGGCGGUCGUGUGCGCCCACGCAUCGAGGUGUUGUAAAAGCUGCCACGGCACUUUUCACCUGUGCAGUGCGAGAUUGGCCAGCCGGUUUAAAAACCCCUCCAAACAAUCAAAGGUUGACCUCGGAUCAGGCAGGGAUACCCGCUGAACUUAAGCAUAUCAAUAAGCGGAGGA
rnacentral:misc_RNA from 1 species